UACGAAGGGGGCUAGCGUUGUUCGGAAUCACUGGGCGUAAAGCGCACGUAGGCGGAUUGUUAAGUCGGGGGUGAAAUCCUGAGGCUCAACCUCAGAACUGCCUUCGAUACUGGCGAUCUUGAGUCCGGAAGAGGUUGGUGGAACAGCUAGUGUAGAGGUGAAAUUCGUGGAUAUUAGCUAGAACACCAGUGGCGAAGGCGGCCAACUGGUCCGGAACUGACGCUGAGGUGCGAAAGCGUGGGGAGCAAACAGG
rnacentral:rRNA from 1 species